rnacentral:lncRNA from 1 species
GCAACGGCUCGCGGUCGCUGUGGAGCCGUGAAAGGGAUGGCCGGGAGGUCCACUGGGCUGCGAGGGGUGACUUGAGGCCUUGGUCUUGCCCCGGAGGGCACGUGAUGAUUUUCCAGCAAUGAUCACAGCAUCUUCACCAAGAGGAGCUUCCAUCUCAAGAAAGCACUCUCUCUUUGCUCAUCCGUAAGAAGAAACUCCCCAUCUAUUCAAGUUGGAUCAUGAGAUUGCAGCAGUUCAGUCACAUAUUCAGGCUUCACUUCCAAUUCUAGUUCUCUUGCUGUUUCCACCAAAUCUGCAGUUACUUCCACGAGUGAAGUCUUGAACCCCUCAAAGUCAUCCAUGAGGGUUGGAAUUAAUUUCUUCCCAACUCCUGUUAAUGUUGAUAUGGUGACCUCUUCCCAUUAAUCAUAAAUGUUCUUUUUUUUUUUUUUGGAGAUGGAGUCUCACUCUGUCACCCAGGCUGGAGUGCAGUGGCGUGGUCUCGGCUCACUGCAAGCUCCGCCUCCUGGGUUCACGCCAUUCUCCUGCCUCAGCCUCCUGAGUAGCUGGGACUACAGGCGCCCACCACCAUGCCCGGCUAAUUUUUUUGUAUUUUUAGUAGAGAUGGGGUUUCACCAUGUUAGCCAGGAUGGUCUUGAUCUCCUGACCUCAUGAUCCGCCUGCCUUGGCCUCCCAAAGUGCUGGGAUUACAGGCGUGAGCCACCGUGCCCGGCCAUAAAUGUUCUUAAUGACAUCUAGAAGAGUUAAUUCUUUCCAGAAGGCUUCCAUUUUACUUUGCCCAGAUCCAGCAUAAAAUCACUAUCUAUGGCAUCUGUAACCUCACAAAAUGUAUUUUGUAAAUAAAAUGACUUGACAGUCAAAAUCAUUCCUUGAUCUAUGGCCUACAGAAUGGAUGUUAUGUUAGCAGACAUCCAAACAACAUUCAUUUCCUUGUACAUCUCCAUCAGAGCUCGUGGGUGACUAGGGGCAUUAUCA